rnacentral:rRNA from 1 species
CAGCCGCCGCGGGAAGACAGAGGAUGCAAGCGUUAUCUGGAAUGAUUGGGCGUAAAGCGACUGUAGGUGGCUUUUCAAGUCUGCAGUCAAAUCCCAAGGCUCAACCCUGGACAGGCGGCGGAAACUACCAAGAUGGAAUACGGUAGGGGCAGAGGGAAUUUCCGGUGGAGCGAUGAAAUGCGUUGAGAUCGGAAAGAACACCAACGGUGAAAGCACUCUGCUGGGCCGACACUGACACUGAGAGACGAAAGUUAGGGGAGCAAAUGGGAUUAGAUACCCCCGUAGUCCCUGUCUCUUAUAC